rnacentral:rRNA from 1 species
GAUGAACGCUGGCGGCGUGCCUAAUACAUGCAAGUCGAGCGAACAGACGAGGAGCUUACUCCUCUGACGUUAGCGGCGGACGGGUGAGUAACACGUGGAUAACCUACCUAUAAGACUGGGAUAACUCCGGGAAACCGGAGCUAAUACCGGAUAACAUGUUGAACCGCAUGGUUCAACAGUGAAAGACGGUCUUGCUGUCACUUAUAGAUGGAUCCGCGUCGCAUUAGCUAGUUGGUAAGGUAACGGCUUACCAAGGCAACGAUGCGUAGCCGACCUGAGAGGGUGAUCGGCCACACUGGAACUGAGACACGGUCCAGACUCCUACGGGAGGCAGCAGUAGGGAAUCUUCCGCAAUGGGCGAAAGCCUGACGGAGCAACGCCGCGUGAGUGAAGAAGGUCUUCGGAUCGUAAAACUCUGUUAUUAGGGAAGAACAAAUGUGUAAGUAACUAUGCACGUCUUGACGGUACCUAAUCAGAAAGCCACGGCUAACUACGUG